rnacentral:rRNA from 1 species
GGUGAGGGAUAUUGGUCAAUGGGGGAAACCCUGAACCAGCAACGCCGCGUGAGGGAAGACGGUUUUCGGAUUGUAAACCUCUGUCCUCUGUGAAGAUAAUGACGGUAGCAGAGGAGGAAGCUCCGGCUAACUACGUGCC